UAAAACUGCAAAAAAAUAAUAAUAAAAUUGGAACAAUACAGAGAAGAUCUGCAUGGCCCCUGCACAAGGAUGAUACGCAAAGGCGUGAAGCGUUCCAUAUUUAA